UGCGUGACGAAGCCCGCGCCAAAGUAGACAAUAAAGUCUGAGCUUUGAGUAAGUCGCCUGACGCCGGUUAGCCGGCGUUUUUU
rnacentral:sRNA from 1 species